UACAGAGGUCUCAAGCGUUUGUUCGGAUUCAUUGGGCGUAAAGGGUGCGUAGGCGGCGCGGUAAGUCGGGUGUGAAAUCUCGGAGCUUAACUCCGAAACUGCAUUCGAUACUGCCGUGCUUGAGGACUGGAGAGGAGACUGGAAUUUACGGUGUAGCGGUGAAAUGCGCAGAUAUCGGGGAGGAACACCGGGUGGCGAAGGCGGUUCUCUGGGCCUUACCUGACGCUGAGGAGCGAAAGCGUGGGGAGCGAACAGG
rnacentral:rRNA from 1 species